UGGGGAAUUUUGGACAAUGGGGGCAACCCUGAUCCAGCCAUGCCGCGUGAGUGAAGAAGGCCUUCGGGUUGUAAAGCUCUUUCGGACGGGACGAAAUGGUUAGCGUGAAUAACGCUGACUGAUGACGGUACCGUAAUAAGAAGCACCGGCUAACUACGUGCCAGCAGCCGCGGUAAUACGUAGGGUGCGAGCGUUAAUCGGAAUUACUGGGCGUAAAGGGUGCGUAGGCGGUUAAAUAAGUUAGAUGUGAAAUCCCCGGGCUUAACCUGGGAAUUGCGAUGGAGACUGCAAGGCUAGAAUCUGGCAGAGGGGGGUAGAAUUCCACGUGUAGCAGUGAAAUGCGUAGAGAUGUGGAGGAACACCGAUGGCGAAGGCAGCCCCCUGGGUCAAGAUUGACGCUCAUGCACGAAAGCGUGGGGAGCGAACAGGAUUAGAUACCCGAGUAGUCCCUGAGCGGGCUGGCAAGGCG
rnacentral:rRNA from 1 species